rnacentral:rRNA from 1 species
GAUGAACGCUGGCGGCGUGCCUAAUACAUGCAAGUCGAGCGAACAGACGAGGAGCUUGCUCCUCUGACGUUAGCGGCGGACGGGUGAGUAACACGUGGAUAACCUACCUAUAAGACUGGGAUAACUUCGGGAAACCGGAGCUAAUACCGGAUAAUAUAUUGAACCGCAUGGUUCAAUAGUGAAAUACAGUUUUGCUGUCACUUAUAGAUGGAUCCGCGCCUCAUUAGCUAGUUGGUAAGGUAACGGCUUACCAAGGCAACGAUGCGUAGCCGACCUGAGAGGGUGAUCGGCCACACUGGAACUGAGACACGGUCCAGACUCCUACGGGAGGCAGCAGUAGGGAAUCUUCCGCAAUGGGCGAAAGCCUGACGGAGCAACGCCGCGUGAGUGAUGAAGGUCUUCGGAUCGUAAAACUCUGUUAUUAGGGAAGAACAAAUGUGUAAGUAACUAUGCACGUCUUGACGGUACCUAAUCAGAAAGCCACGGCUAACUACGUG